GCCUGGUUAGCAUAAAUAGUAAUGCAUCCGUUUUGUAAUCGGCAGAAUCAAGUGCAAUUCUUGAACUGGGCU
rnacentral:tRNA from 1 species